ACGGCCACAUCAUGUUGAAACACCGGUUCCCGUAUGAUUACCGAAGUUAAGUAACGUCGAGAAGGGUCAGUACCUGGAUGGGUGACCGCUUGGGAAUACCAAGUGCAGUAA